CUGACAGCACGCGACAGCCGAUGUGCAGUUACAAAACGUAAACAAAACACGGGGUGAAAGAUUGGCGCGUGCGAGCUUAGGAUGGAUUUGCCGGAAACUUUGGAUAUGGCCAGGACGGCGAGCUUGUGUCGGGUUUGUCUAAAGGACGCCGGGGAGGACAGGGUUCCCGUGAGUUACGAAGUGGACGGAAUUUCUAUCGUGGAGUUGAUUGGUGCAUGCAGCGGUGUUGAGAUUACGGAAGACGAUGAGGAUGCCUCACUUCCCACGAACUGUUGUGAACGCUGUGUGGAGGCCUUGUACGUUGCCCACAGCAUAGGCGAGCAGUGCCGUGAAACGGACCGGAAGUUACGUUCGUUGCUAGAUUCAGCCAAAGAUCGCAGGACGGAAGAGGAUUCCAAGGAUCUUUCUGAUUGUAGCCAAGUUGAAUCCGAAGAAUCUGAACAUGAUUCGGGUGAGGACAGUUCGCAAGAUGUAGAACUUGAAGAAAAUCGGCGAGUUCAAGAAGGACCGGGUAAUUUAGAGGAACCGAAUACCACGUGUUGCGCCUGUCGAACCGAUUUUGAAAGUGAAGAAGCUUUGAGUGACCACAUUAAACAAGUGCACGAGCCUGAACGUACAAACGACGGGAGUAAAAAGCCGUUUCAGUGCGAUACAUGCUUCCGGAGGUACUUUAAGAAAACCUCUCUGAAUCGGCACAAAAGAUUGGGCAGUGUGGGAACGGCGAUACGAGUGGUGAAGCAGGAGGAACCCGUGGAUCAUCGGUGUUGUGGGUGUAGGAAGGAUUUUGGCACCGAAGAAGAGCUGCGUCAGCAUUCGCUGUCGGUUCAUGGACCCAGCAGGACUAACGACGAAACAAGACCGUUUGAGUGCGAACUCUGUUUCAAGCGGUACUCGUGUAAGAACUCGUUGGGGAGGCAUUUUAAGGCAAGGUUGCUCGAAAGCGUGCCACGAACGGUGCGGAAACUUGGUGCGAAUCAAUGUUGCGGAUGUAGGGUCAAAUUUGCUAAUAGGGAACUACUUGUGCAACAUUCGAAGCAGGUUCAUGAGCCAGAUCGAAGUGAUAACCUAGGAGAGCUGAAGCCUUUCGAGUGUGAAAUUUGUUUUAGCAGAUAUUCGACUAGAGAGGCUUUCAAGCGUCAUAAAUCCGGAUUUCGGGCGGAACAACUGUACCGCUGUGAACAGUGUGAUAAAUCGUUCGUGAAACGAGUAAUGUUACGGAUUCAUGAACAAAAGUUUCAUAACGGUGUCCAAAACGAGGUCAUCGGAGCAUACCAAUGCACUAGAUGUGGCAAAACGUUCAUGCAUCCUAGUUCGUUAACCAAUCACGAAAAGUGGCACGAGCAGAGUCGAGAUUUCGAAUGUUCGAUAUGCCAGAAGAUGUUCCUUAGCAAGGGAAAUCUGCAAACGCACAUGAAACUGCACUCGGAACCGGCUCACCAGCGGAAAGCUCGUUACGAAUGUCCAAUUUGCCGUUGUAGCUUCAAAACCCCGAAUUAUCUACAGAUUCACGCGCGAGUUCAUACCGGUGAAAAGCCACACCGUUGCACGUAUUGCUCGAAGCAGUUUGCCCACAUGCCCGGUUUGAAGCGCCAUCUGCUGACGCAUACGGAAGAGAAACAAUUUUCCUGUCGGUACUGUGCACGAGAGUUCUCGGCGCGGCCAAACUUACUAAUCCACGAGAAAAGCCAUGGAACGGAGCGCGAAAAGUGUGACAUUUGCGGGAAGGAAUUUGUCCAUGUGCGGUACUUGCGCAAGCACCGGAAGCGACACUUUAAACAUUAAAUGCCGAGAAACAUGCCAAGUUUGUUUUUUUUCUUUAAAUUCGAAAUCAUGACCAUUCUCUGAACAUAAACUGAAAAAAACCUAAAAAAAUCCGAUUCUGGUUGGAAAUUACCCAUUUUGAACCACACUCAAAACACGCUACCCAAAGUAUGGGUAGCAGUUUGAAAUUCUUGCACCUAAAAAAUCUACACUUUUAACGCUAGCGGGUAGUCCCCCGCAAUCCAACAACAACAAAGCGCAAAACGUCACCACAGCUGGACGUCAAGGAAACAUUCCAGAAACAACCGUCAAACAGCUCGCAGUGUGGCAAGCCUGGUGAAGCACGAAAAAAUCCCGAAAACCUCAGAAAACCCGUUAGAUUCCGGGUCGAAACCGUUGCCCAAGCGUAGCCUAGCUUCCGUGGCACUUCCGGCGCGUGCAGUUGACCGACGAGGUGCCCGUGAAACGGCAGGAGAAGUGAUUUAACAUCGAGCAGAAAAAAAAGAGGUGCUGCUGUGAAAAACAAGAUGGCGGCCGAAGAUUUUGACGUCGAGGAGAUGCUCGAGGCUCCGUACCGAAAGACUGUAAAACCAAUCCUGUUUGAAUUAGCGGAGCGCGUUGUUUCUGCCAGCUUAGGAUGAUAAACGUUGAAGGCCAAACGCAAGUGCCGCUCUAUCGAACCCCGAUAGUAGGGUCAAAUCAAUGCCAUGAUGCAAAGCGUCAGAACAAAAGUAGGAACCACUUGGUGUCUUUACUGCACCAUAAAUUCAAAAGUCAUUCGCUUUCUUUAGCAACAUCCACAGAAUAUGAACACUGUAUUCCUGUUUUUAGAUACCGCGCUCGUGUGUAUGUGUGUUGAUCCCAAGAGAUGCCCGACAACAGGCGAAAAUUUCUUUGUGCGUGUGUUGUUAAGGCAAGUUUCUUUCCUCUUCAAUUUCGUAUAUUACUAUCAACACUAGUUUUGCUAACGAUUGCCUCGCUUCUUGGGCAGUCGAAUGUCCAGGGACCAAUUUCUAUUGCUUGUAAAAAUCAGUUUGUUGUUAUCUAUCUAAACAAAAAAAGCGCGUUCCUAUAGCUGUAAUAAUGUUGCAAACCGUUUCCUUAUUUGUCCAGGUGUAUCUCUGCUAACAGAAAGCACUAUACAGAGUCAGUCAGCAAAAAAAGAGCAAAAUGGCAAAACACGGACCAACCUCUCGCGUGCGUCCUUAGAUGGAAGGAAAAGGUGGCCUUUGGCUUUGGGCAGGCCCAUCCGGAACUAAACGGCGCGCACAGAAUCACGCACACAUACAGAGAGAGAGAGCGGGCGGUGCCCAGACGGUGCACUCCAAAAUCGGUUUGCUUUUGAAAAGCACACACGUUCUGCCA
rnacentral:misc_RNA from 1 species